rnacentral:misc_RNA from 1 species
AAGAAACGAAACAAACACCAUAUCAGCAUACAAAUAUUUAGUUUACACCUGGACCUACCAAACAUAACUAAGCUAUCCACGAGCCACUGCAGUUUCAGAACUUCAGGAGAGAUGCUUCAAUCUCUUGACUUACAGCACAACUUUACUCUUUCUUAAGAAGACUUUGCAAACGCCCACUCUCGACAGCGUUUCGGAGAUCAUCUGAACCACCAAUAUGCUUCCCAUUCACAAACACUUGAGGGACUGUGCUGCGACCCACCAGAUCUAGAAGGACAUCUUGUAUACGAGCGCCAUCAUCUCUAAGAUCAAGCUCCACCACAAAUGGUUGCUCUUGAAGUUCAUUAAAGAUGCCUUUGGCACGCUUGCAGUACGGACAAUAGGAUUUGGAAAAGAUGGCGAUCUUGUUAGAGUAGAUGACAUUUUGGACAAAAGCAGAAGGAGAACUAGAAGCUAGGGCUUCAGUUGGACCUUUCACUAUCGCCAUUACUCCAAAUACAGUAAACAUCAGAAGAAGAUUACGCUUGAAACAACCAUUGACCUCCAUUUUCUCCCUUUCUAUCACAGGAACAGUGGAGCGCUCAAAAAACUGUUGAGUUUUGGACAAAAUCGAGAGGAACAGGGGUUUUAAUGUCUCGGCAGAAAUCCGAAGAUUGAUACUGCCAAUUUUCUCGAGACGGUUACAAAUUAACAGCGGCAAUUUUGGAGAGAUCCCUGUUUUUGGAGUGGAGAACCGGAAAACGGAUUUAGUAGAAAGAUUGUAAUAUUGUCCAAAGCGCCGGUUUCCUAUUUUGGUUAAACGACCCGCCGGGUUGAUCUGCAUCUCGACGGAGGAGUUGACUACUAUUUUCACUAUAAAAUCG